UCUCUCUCUUCCUCUCCUUCUCUCCACUUUUCUCUCAAACCCAGCCCUCAACAGAAACCACCACACUCUGCAGUGUGUCUGGCAAUCCAUAUCCCCACAUCUUUCUUCUCCUCUUGAGAGCAGCUCCUGAAUUCCAUUAGGUUCAUCUCUCUAUAUCCUUUUACUUUCUUAUCUCUGUUCUUAUCUCUCUCUAUUUUCUGAGCCAACAACAUCAGGGAAACUCAGCAGAUCAGGCUGUGAGAUACCGAGAUACCCACGGCAAAGGGAACGACGUAUUUCACGUGAAACGAGAUGAGAUCAAAACCCAGAACCAUCCAUCAGCAACACCCUUCACUUCUCAGCAUAGCCCUUUCGUGUCCCCUCAAAGUGAGAACACACAGAGAGGCAGUGUGGUGCAGCUUUUCAGAAUUCGCGGUGGAGAUGUUCAUGCCUCUGGGAGGGGCUUGCUUACAGUAUUAAGAGUGUCGUUUGAAAAUGAAGAAGAGAACACGUUGCCUAAUGAAUGAAAGAUAGACCAAGACAGUUUGAAAAUGGCACAGAAGAGUUUAUCAUGGUUGGACGCUCAUCUGAUGUUUUGUUUCAUGGAAAAGAAAAUAGAAAGAAAAAGACGAAAGAAAAUAAAAGAAAAAGAAUUCCAUU